UACGUAGGUGGCAAGCGUUGUCCGGAUUUAUUGGGUUUAAAGGGUGCGUAGGCGGCCUUGUAAGUCAGUGGUGAAAUACUCCAGCUUAACUGGAGGGGUGCCAAUGAUACUGCAGGGCUUGAGUACAGAUGAGGUAGGCGGAAUUGACGGUGUAGCGGUGAAAUGCAUAGAUAUCGUCAAGAACACCGAUAGCGAAGGCAGCUUACUGGGCCGUAACUGACGCUGAGGCACGAAAGUGUGGGGAUCAAACAGG
rnacentral:rRNA from 1 species